rnacentral:rRNA from 1 species
UACGGAGGGUGCAAGCGUUGUUCGGAAUCACUGGGCGUAAAGCGCGUGUAGGCGGCUUCCUAAGUUUGGUGUGAAAGCCCGGGGCUUACCCCCGGAAGUGCACUGGAUACUGGGAGGCUAGAGUACCGGAGAGGAGGGUGGAAUUCCUGGUGUAGCGGUGAAAUGCGUAGAUAUCAGGAGGAACACCGGUGGCGAAGGCGGCCCUCUGGACGGCUACUGACGCUGAGACGCGAAAGCGUGGGGAGCAAAC